UGUCGUCAGCUCGUGUUCGUGAGAUGUUCGGUUAAGUCCGCUAACGAGCGCAACCCUCGUCGUAUGUUAUAUGUGUCAUACGAGACUGCCGGUAAAAGCCGGAGGAAGGUGAGGGUGAUGUCAAGUCAGCAUGACCUUUAUAUCCAGGGCUACACACACGCUACAAUGGUCUGUACAAUGGGUAGCCAAGCCGCGAGGCGGAGCCAAUCCUGAAGGCAGGCCUCAGUUCAGAUUGCAGUCUGCAACUCGACUGCAUGAAGCCGGAGUUGCUAGUAACCGCAGGUCAGCAAUACUGCGGUGAAUACGUUCCCGGGUCUU
rnacentral:rRNA from 1 species